rnacentral:rRNA from 1 species
GAUGAACGCUGGCGGCGUGCCUAAUACAUGCAAGUCGAGCGAACGGACGAGAAGCUUGCUUCUCUGAUGUUAGCGGCGGACGGGUGAGUAACACGUGGAUAACCUACCUAUAAGACUGGGAUAACUUCGGGAAACCGGAGCUAAUACCGGAUAAUAUUUUGAACCGCAUGGUUCAAAAGUGAAAGACGGUCUUGCUGUCACUUAUAGAUGGAUCCGCGCUUCAUUAGCUGGUUGGUAAGGUAACGGCUUACCAAGGCAACGAUGCAUAGCCGACCUAAGAGGUGGACCGGCCACACUGGACCUGAGACACGGUCCAGACUCCUACGGGAGGCAGCAGUAGGGAAUCUUCCGCAAUGGGCGAAAGCCUGACGGAGCAACGCCGCGUGAGUGAUGAAGGUCUUCGGAUCGUAAAACUCUGUUAUUAGGGAAGAACAUAUGUGUAAGUAACUGUGCACAUCUUGACGGUACCUAAUCAGAAAGCCACGGCUAACUACGUG